AUUGAACGCUGGCGGCAGGCCUAACACAUGCAAGUCGAACGAGUGGCGGACGGGUGAGUAAUGUCUGGGAAACUGCCUGAUGGUGGGGGAUAACUACUGGACACGGUAGCUAAUACCGCAUACCAUCAGAUGUGCCCAGAUGUGAUUAGCUGGGUGGGGGGGUAACGGCUCACCAAGGCGACGAUCCCUAGCGGGUCUGAGAGGAUGACCAGACAAACUGGAACUGAGACACGUGCCAGACUCCUACGGGAGGCAGCAGUGGGGAAUAUUGCACAAUGGGCGCAAGCCUGAUGCAGCCAUGCCGCGUGUAUGAAGAAGGCCUUCGGGUUGUAAAGGACUUUCAGCAGGGAGGCGUUACCCGCAGAAGAAGCACCGGCUAACUCCGUGCCAGCAGCCGCGGUAAUUC
rnacentral:rRNA from 1 species